GGAGAGGUGGCUCAGAGGUUAAGAGCACUGACUGUUCUUCCAGAGGUCCUGAGUUCAAUUCCCAGCAACUACG
rnacentral:tRNA from 1 species